CCACACAUACUUGCGCACAAGUAUUCAGAGCAGCACAAUUCACAGUAACCAAGAGGUGGAAGCAGGCAAACGUCCAUCCACAGACGAACCAAGUGUGGUCCAUACCCCCGAUGGAGCAUUACUCAGCUUUAGAAAAAGAGGCGAUGCCGACCCUGGUUCCAAUGUGGAUGAAGCUGAAGACAUUAUGGUAUACACCCAAAAGGACUGAAAACAAAUACUCAUACGAAGUGUUCACAGCAGCAUUAUCCAGAGUGGCCAAAAGGUGGAAACCGCUGCACGCCAAUCAACUGAUGAAUGGGUAAACAAAUGUGGUCAGUCUGUACACUGGAAUAUUAUUCAGUCAUAAAAAGGAAUGAAGAACUGAUUCUUCCUACAAUAUGACAAUAUGAAUAAACCUUAAAACUUCAUCCUAAGGAGAGAAGCCAGACUUGACAAUCAUGUAUUGCAUGGCUCUGUUUAUAUGAAAAGACUAGGAAACUGAGGCUCAGAGAAGGGACGCGUUGGCUCAAAGCAGGGCCUGGAUGUCUGUGCAACGCCGUCCUUGCUGGGGAUGGGGCCAAGGACUUAGGCCUCCCCGGAGCUCGAGAUUUCACUCCCAGGAAACAAAACAAAGCUCUCCUUCACAAGAGAGCACAGUCUAGGAAACAUGGGAGGAAAGACAGCUUUGGAAAGCCAUCAGUGAAAGCUGCAGCCAUCACCCGCAGUGGCUGGGGACCAGGAGGCACGGGGCGCCAAAGCAUCAGCCACAGGUGACUGCUUGGGUGUGCCGGGGCCUUUACAUGGGGACAUCUGGCCCCGUCAGUAUCAUGCAAGGCAGGUGAGCUGACACAGGGCUCCACUUGAUGAGAUGCAAUAGGAAGGACACGCCUCACCUGGGGGUCUUCUCAAAACAUGUGGCCCAACCCAGGGGAGCCCACAGAGACACUGUUCAGCGUUCAGAACUCACAGAAGGAAGAGGAGGACACAGUCAAACCAGGCAGGGAGGGGCAAGCAGAGAGGAGGCUGCAGGGCACUCCACGGGACAUGCGACAGAAGACGGGAAAAGAAGAGAACAAAGAAGAUGAAAGAGCAAAAGGGAGGGAAUGAUGCUAGGAGAAAAAGGACCUGAGACAAACCAACAGCAGGCGUGACCCUCGCUGGAUCCUGAAUCACAGGAAGCAGGCAUGGGACUUCCCUGGUAGUCCAGUGGUUAGGAAUCUGUCUGCCAAUGCAGGGGACAUGGGUUUGAUCCCUGGUCUGGAAAGAUCCCACAUGCUGCAGGGCAACUAAGCCAGUGAG